rnacentral:misc_RNA from 1 species
GAUGAAGAACGUAGCGAAAUGCGAUAAGUAACGCGAAUUGCAGAAUUCCAGUGAGUCAUCGAAUCUUUGAACGCACAUUGCGCCCUUUGGUAUUCCGAAGGGCAUGCCUGUUCGAGCGUCAUUAUCACCCCUCAAGCCCUCGGCUUGGUGUUGGACGGUUUGGUGGAGGCCCCCUCGGGGGCUCCUGCCCCUCCCAAAGACAAUGACGGCGGCCUCGUUGGACCCCCGGUACACUGAGUUCUUCACGGGACACGUAUCGGACACAUGGGUUUACGGGACACGGUCUGCCUCCCCUCAGGGAGAAUCUUUCUAAGGUUGACCUCGGAUCAGGUAGGGAUACCCGCUGAACUUAAGCAUAUCAAUAAGCGGAGGA